rnacentral:lncRNA from 1 species
AAACUACUUGUUGAUUUGAAAGGCGUUUAUUUCUGCAUUCCGUAUCUUCAUUUUCUUUUCGACUGACAAAUCAGCAGAGAAGUUUACUGAUGGCCACAUACCACAGGAACAAGAAUGGUUUUGAUUUCUGCUGUGCAGCAGCACAGGCUGAUUGUGAGACAGCAGCGUGAUGUAGCCACAAAUAUAUCCGGAGACAUUUCUGGAGGCGUAGCUGAUCUGCUGAUAUUUCUGUUAUUCAUGGCUGAAUUACCUCACCUGCAGUGGAUGGGGUCACGCUGCUGGUGAUACCUGGGUUAGCACUGCACAGAUCCAGCUCACUGUCAGGAUCUGUCUGCCAGGGCCUUGCAUCGCCUGGGCUUGGCUGUGUGGCUGCUGCGUCAGUGUGAAAUCAGUUUCUCAUUGCUAUGUUCCUGACAGAAUAACAGCAGAAAGGUCGCACAUUUCUGAUUUGCUCACAGUCAGGUCUCCAAAUUGCCUGAUGGGCUGUAGAUUGAUUUCUGUACCACAGGUACAUUUGCUCAUUUACAACCACUCUCAGCAUUUUCAAAAAAGAAUGCCUAAAUGUUCUGCUGGGAUACUUUGGUAUUCACAUCACACAGAAAUUGGUGCUAUUUGUUUAAUUAAAAAAAAGGUGUGUAAGCAGAUACAAGCACAAACAAAUAAAUGGUACGGUUACUCAGGCUGCACAAUGUUAUGAAGCAUGUUAAUUUUAUGUUAGAAAAUUUUAUUUACUAAGUGAAAAUGGAAGGGUAAAUUACAAUAGCAGAUAAUGAUGCUGAAAACUUGUUUUGACUUACAGUCAUGGCUGAGUCUUUCCCUUGUAAGGUGGUGACAGUAGCUUUUCAUGAUUGCUAUGUUAAAGUAUAAUAUGUGGAGCACUGUAUCAUCAUAAUAUCAAUUUCAUAUUCUACCCACCAAUUCUAUCUUUAUAACCUGGUGCCUUCAAUUUUAAGUUUCC